rnacentral:miRNA from 1 species
UUUUCCCAACUCCACCCAUCCC